AUAUUGGUGGCUCAGUGGUAGAACUUUUGCCUUCCAUGCGGAAGACUUUGGUUCAAUUCCCAUCCAGUGCA
rnacentral:tRNA from 1 species